UACGUAGGGUGCAAGCGUUAUCCGGAAUUAUUGGGCGUAAAGAGCUUGUAGGCGGUUUGUCGCGUCUGCUGUGAAAUUUCGGGGCUCAACCCCGGACUUGCAGUGGGUACGGGCAGACUAGAGUGUGGUAGGGGAGACUGGAAUUCCUGGUGUAGCGGUGAAAUGCGCAGAUAUCAGGAGGAACACCGAUGGCGAAGGCAGGUCUCUGGGCCACUACUGACGCUGAGAAGCGAAAGCAUGGGGAGCGAACAGG
rnacentral:rRNA from 1 species